rnacentral:rRNA from 1 species
ACCAUUUAAAGAGUGCGUAACAGCUCACUAGUCUAGUUUUUUGGCGCCACAAGUAUAACGGGGCUAAGCUUAAUACCGAAUUUUUGGAUGGUGACAUAGAAUGUCAAGCAUGGUAGACAAAUGUUGUAUAGGGGUUGAAGCUUGAGCGUGAGCAUGAGUGGACUAUAUACAAGUAAGAAUUCCGGCGUGAGUAACGAAUGAAAGUGAGAAUCUUUCUAGCCGAUUGAUCAAGGUUUCUGGGGCUAGGCUCGUCCUCCUCAGGUAAGUCGAUCCUAAGUUGAGGCCGAAAGGCGUAGAUGAUGGGCAACGGGUUAAUAUUCCCGUACUACCUUGAACGUUCGAUGGGUUGACAGAAAAGGUUAAACUGGGAGGGUUAUUGGAUUCCCUUUUAAGAUUUUGAGUACGUUGAGUAUGAAAAUCAACUCAACAUAAGUGCAAGGAUUGAAUACGAUCUCGGCCAGCAAUGGUUGGGAAAGCCAGACUUAAUCAUAUUCUCCAGAAAAGACUCUAAGAGACAAAGACGUUCAAGGUACUCGUACCGAUAACGAACACACGUGAUCAAGGAGAAUAUCCUAAGGCUAGCGAGCGAACUACAGUUAAGGAACUCUGCAAAAUGACUCUGUAACUUCGGGAGAAAGAGUGCCCGCAUAGAAUGCGGGUCACAGUAAAGAAUGAGGGCGGACUGUUUAACAAAAACACAGCUAUAUGCAAAAUUCAAACAUGAAGUAUAUGUGGCGACACCUGCCCGGUGCCAGAAGGUCAAAGAAGGAGGUCAGGCUAGCUUGGCUAGCUGAAGC